rnacentral:rRNA from 1 species
CCUACGGGAGGCAGCAGUGGGGGAUAUUGCACAAUGGGGGGAACCCUGAUGCAGCGACGCCGCGUGGGUGAAGAAGCGCCUCGGCGCGUAAAGCCCUGUCAGCAGGGAAGAAAAUGACGGUACCUGAAGAAGAACCCCCGGCUAACUACGUGCCAGCAGCCGCGGUAAGACGUAGGGGGCAAGCGUUAUCCGGAUUUACUGGGUGUAAGGGGGGCGCAGACGGCGAUGCAAGCCAGGAGGGAAAGCCCGGGGUCCAACCCCGGGACUGCUCUUGGAACUGCCUGGCUGGAGUGCAGGAGGGGCAAGCGGAAUUCCAGGUGUAGCGGUGAAAUGCGUAGAUAUCAGGAGGAACACCAGUGGCGAAGGCGGCCUGCUGGACUGCAACUGACGUUGAGGCCCGAAAGCGUGGGGAGCAAACAGGAUUAGAUACCCCAGUAGUC